UUGACUUGAAAUAGAUGGUUGUGGUGACUAACUUGAAAUAAAUGGUUGUGGUAGUUUACAGGUGCCCUUGUUGUGACCAUCCUUGUGGUAACAACUGCACUUGAUUCCAUGUUUUUCCCGUUUCAAGUGUGUCUCAACCCUCACCAGUUCUCCAGCUUCUCUAUUCCUCUUUUUCUUGGGCCUUCCAGGUUGUCUCUUUAUUGGUGGUGGCUGGAGAUCAACAACAUCAUAUUUUGUCCAUAAAGUUUCCCCAUUAAUUG
rnacentral:lncRNA from 1 species